rnacentral:rRNA from 1 species
CUUAUGUCUCGAUCACGGGUUUCCCGCUAGAAUUUACUACACUGUUCCGGAUCGGGUUCCCGCUUUGCUUCUCUGUGAGAGCGGCGGACGGGUGAGUAAUGCCUAGGAAUCUGCCUGGUAGUGGGGGAUAACGUUCGGAAACGGACGCUAAUACCGCAUACGUCCUACGGGAGAAAGCAGGGGACCUUCGGGCCUUGCGCUAUCAGAUGAGCCUAGGUCGGAUUAGCUAGUUGGUGAGGUAAUGGCUCACCAAGGCGACGAUCCGUAACUGGUCUGAGAGGAUGAUCAGUCACACUGGAACUGAGACACGGUCCAGACUCCUACGGGAGGCAGCAGUGGGGAAUAUUGGACAAUGGGCGAAAGCCUGAUCCAGCCAUGCCGCGUGUGUGAAGAAGGUCUUCGGAUUGUAAAGCACUUUAAGUUGGGAGGAAGGGUUGUAGAUUAAUACUCUGCAAUUUUGACGUUACCAACAGAAUAAGCACCGGCUAACUCUGUGCCAGCAGCCGCGGUAAUACAGAGGGUGCAAGCGUUAAUCUGAAUUACUGGGCGUAAAGCGCGCGUAUUUGGUUUGUUAAUUUGGAUGUAAAUCCCCGGGCUCACCUUGGGAACUGCAUUCAAAACUGACUGACUAGAGUAUGGUAGAGGGUGGUGUAAUUUCCUGGUGUAGCCGUGAAUUGCUAAAUAAGAGAAGGACCCCAGUGGCGAAGGCCACCACUUGGACUAUCCUGACUCUGAGGUGCGAGAGCCUGGAAACAAACAGGAUUAAUUCCCUGGCAGUCCCCCCUAAAACAUGUCAACUAGCCGGUGGAAGCCUUGAGCUUUAGCGGCCAAACUAACCCAUUAGGUGACCGCUGGGGGGGUACGCCCCCAAGGUUAAAUUCAAUUGAUUGCGGGGCCCCGCAAGCGGGGGACUUUGGUUUUAUUAAACACCCCAAGACCCUCCGGCUUGAAUCUAAUAAAAUUAUUAAGUAGUGGGGCGCUCCCGGAAUAUAGAACGUGGUGCUAGUGUGUUUCCCCGUCCGGGUUGGGGAGGUGGGAUAAAACCCCCAAAACGCGCCACUCCCUUUCCUUAUUUCCCGACGUUUUUGGGCGGCCCUAGAGAAACGCCGGCAUCCUGGAUUGGCAAACUUAAUUUGGUCUUGCGCG